rnacentral:rRNA from 1 species
UUUCUCCGCCGGCGACCGGCGCACGGGUGAGUAACACGUAUGCAACCUGCCCCUGUCAGGGGGACAACCCGCCGAAAGGCGGGCUAAACCCGCGUACAUGCCACCGGGGCAUCCCGGAGGCAGGAAAGGCUUCGGCCGGACAGGGACGGGCAUGCGGCGCAUUAGGCAGUAGGCGGGGUAACGGCCCACCUAACCGACGAUGCGUAGGGGUUCUGAGAGGAAGGUCCCCCACACUGGUACUGAGACACGGACCAGACUCCUACGGGAGGCAGCAG